AUUGAACGCUGGCGGCAGGCCUAACACAUGCAAGUCGAGCGGUAGCACAGAGAGCUUGCUCUCGGGUGACGAGCGGCGGACGGGUGAGUAAUGUCUGGGAAACUGCCUGAUGGAGGGGGAUAACUACUGGAAACGGUAGCUAAUACCGCAUAACGUCGCAAGACCAAAGAGGGGGACCUUCGGGCCUCUUGCCAUCAGAUGUGCCCAGAUGGGAUUAGCUAGUAGGCGGGGUAAUGGCUCACCUAGGCGACGAGCCCUAGCUGGUCUGAGAGGAUGACCAGCCACACUGGAACUGAGACACGGUCCAGACUCCUACGGGAGGCAGCAGUGGGGAAUAUUGCACAAUGGGCGCAAGCCUGAUGCAGCCAUGCCGCGUGUGUGAAGAAGGCCUUCGGGUUGUAAAGCACUUUCAGCGAGGAGGAAGGCGGUGAGGUUAAUAACCUCAUCGAUUGACGUUACUCGCAGAAGAAGCACCGGCUAACUCCGUGCCAGCCGCCGCGGUAA
rnacentral:rRNA from 1 species